AUGAACACCAGGGGUUUGAUUGGUAAACACGUUACAGAAGGUCGACGAAAUAUGAAUCGGAGACUUAAUCUUGAUAUACCUCAGAACAAUACAUUCUUGUUACCACGAGAUGUAUUGGCCGCUACGGAUCAUUUGAUUGGAAUGAAAUUUGGAACGGGUAUACUUGACGAUGACGAUAUGAAUCACUUGAAAAAUAAACGUAUUCGUUCGGUUGCGGAUCUGUUACAAGAUCAAUUCGGAUUGGCUCUUGGUCGUUUACAACAUGCAGUUCGUAGAGUAUUCAUACGUCAAUCGAAACCGACUCCCCAAACUUUGGUAACUCCAACUUCAACUUCAAUUUUAUUAAUAACUACUUAUGAGACCUUUUUUGGCACAUACCCGUUAUCUCAAGUUUUUGAUCAAAAGAAUCCAUUGACACAAACUGUUCAUGGGCGAAAAGUGAGUUGUUUAGGUCCUGGAGGGUUGACGGGGAGAACCGCUCUCCGAUGGCCUUAG
rnacentral:rRNA from 1 species